rnacentral:snRNA from 1 species
AGCUUUGCGCAGUGGCAGUAUCGUAGCCAACGAGGUUUAUCUGAGGCGCGAUUAUUGCUAAUUGAAAACUUUUCCCAAUACCCCGCCAUGACGACUUGAAAUACAGUCGGCAUUGGCAAUUUUUGACAGUCUCUACAGAGA